rnacentral:rRNA from 1 species
GAUGAACGCUAGCUACAGGCUUAACACAUGCAAGUCGAGGGGAAACGACAUCGAAAGCUUGCUUUUGAUGGGCGGCCACCGGCGCACGGGGGAGUAACGCGUAUCCAACCUGCCCACCACUUGGGGAUAACCUUGCGAAAGUAAGACUAAUACCCAAUGAUAUCCCUAGAAGACAUCUGAAAGAGAUUAAAGAUUUAUCGGUGAUGGAUGGGGAUGCGUCUGAUUAGCUUGUUGGCGGGGUAACGGCCUACCAAGGCAACGAUCAGUAGGGGUUCUGAGAGGAAGGUCCCCCACAUUGGAUCUGCGACCCGGUCCACACUCCUACGGGAGGCAGCAGUGAGGAAUAUUGCUCGAUGGAUGUGAGUCUGAACCAGCCAAGUAGCGUGCAGGAAGCCGGCCCUAUGGGUUGUAAACUGCUUUUAUAAGGGAAUAAAGUGAGUCUCGUGAGACUUUUUGCAUGUACCUUAUGAAUAAGGACCGGCUAAUUCCGUG